ACAGGCUUAACACAUGCAAGUCGAGGGGCAGCAUGGUCUUAGCUUGCUAAGGCUGAUGGCGACCGGCGCACGGGUGAGUAACACGUAUCCAACCUGCCGUCUACUCUUGGCCAGCCUUCUGAAAGGAAGAUUAAUCCAGGAUGGGAUCAUGAGUUCACAUGUCCGCAUGAUUAAAGGUAUUUUCCGGUAGACGAUGGGGAUGCGUUCCAUUAGAUAGUAGGCGGGGUAACGGCCCACCUAGUCAACGAUGGAUAGGGGUUCUGAGAGGAAGGUCCCCCACAUUGGAACUGAGACACGGUCCAAACUCCUACGGGAGGCAGCAGUGAGGAAUAUUGGUCAAUGGGCGAUGGCCUGAACCAGCCAAGUAGCGUGAAGGAUGACGG
rnacentral:rRNA from 1 species